GACGAACGCUGGCGGCGUGCUUAACACAUGCAAGUCGAACGCUGAAGCUUGGUGCUUGCACUGGGUGGAUGAGUGGCGAACGGGUGAGUAAUACGUGAGUAACCUGCCCUUGACUCUGGGAUAAUCCUGGGAAACUGGCUCUAAUACUGGAUACGACAUGUCACCGCAUGGUGGUGUGUGGAAAGGGUUUUGCUGGUUUUGGAUGGGCUCACGGCCUAUCAGCUUGUUGGUGGGGUAAUGGCUCACCAAGGCGCGGACGGGUAGCCGGCCUGAGAGGGUGACCGGCCACACUGGGACUGAGAUACGGCCCAGACUCCUACGGGAGGCAGCAGUGGGGAAUAUUGCACAAUGGGCGGAAGCCUGAUGCAGCGACGCCGCGUGAGGGAUGACGGCCUUCGGGUUGUAAACCUCUUUCAGCACGGAAGAAGCGAAAGUGACGGUACGUGCAGAAGAAGCGCCGGCUAACUACGUG
rnacentral:rRNA from 1 species